rnacentral:rRNA from 1 species
AAUAGUUACAUGUAAUUUCGAUUAUGUGGGCAACUUCUUAGAGGGACUUUGUGUGUAUAAUGCAAGGAAGUUUGAGGCAAUAACAGGUCUGUGAUGCCCUUAGAUGUUCUGGGCUG